rnacentral:rRNA from 1 species
GAAUGUCAAAUUUCUAGUAUGAGAAAUUAACUAUUUAAGUCCUUCUUAAAUGAGGCCAUUUACCCAAAGAGGGUGCCAGGCCCGUAUAAAGUUAAUGAUUACUAGAUGGCAUUUCCAAAGAGUCGUGUUGCUUGAUAGUGCAGCACUAAGUGGGUGGUAAACUCCAUCUAAAACUAAAUAUAACCAUGAGACCGAUAGUAAACAAGUACCGUGAGGGAAAGUUGAAAAGAACUCUGAAUAGAGAGUUAAAUAGUACGUGAAACUGCUUAGAGGUUAAGCCCGAUGAACCUGAAUAUCCGUUAUAGAAAAUUCAUCAUUAUGAUUUUAAUAUUAAUAAUAUUAUAAUAAUGGUGUGCAUUUUUUCUAUAUAUGGACAUUGUAAUCUAUUAAUAUAAAUAUAUUUAUCAUAAGGUCAUUUGCGUAAGUUUAUUCGAAUUAUUUUGCUUGCAAUUUAAUAUAGAAUAAAUGCUCAUGAUUUGAUAAAGUGUUGAUAGAUUUAUUAUAUAUAGUGCUUAAAUAUUUAUAUUUUAUAAUAGCAUAUUAAUCAUUGAUUUUUAUGUUUAUUAUAUGCACUUAUAUGAUUAACAAUGCGAAAGAUUCAGGAUACCUUCGGGACCCGUCUUGAAACACGGACCAAGGAGUCUAACAUAUUUGCAAGUUAUUGGGAAUUAAAACCUAAUAGCGUAAUUAACAUAACUUAUUAAUGGGAUUAGUUUUUAGCCUAUUUAUAGUCUAUUAAUUCAAUCCCGGGGCGUUCUAUACAGUUAUGUAUAAUAAUAUUUAUAUUAUUUAUACCUCUAACUAGAGCGUACCUUGAGCAUAUAUGCUGUGACCCGAAAGAUGGUGAACUAUACUUGAUCAGGUUGAAGUCAGGGGAAACCCUGAUGGAAGACCGAAACAGUUCUGACGUGCAAAUCGAUUGUCAGAAUUGAGUAUAGGGGCGAAAGACCAAUCGAACCAUCUAGUAGCUGGUUCCCUCCGAAGUUUCCCUCAGGAUAGCUGGUGCAUUUAAAAAUUAUGUAAAAUAAUCUUAUCUGGUAAAGCGAAUGAUUAGAGGCAUUAGGGUCGAAACGACCUUAACCUAUUCUCAAACUUUAAAUGGGUAAGAACCUCACCUUUCUUGGUAUGAAGGUUGUGGUUGUGAUAUAAUGUGCCCAGUGGGCCACUUUUGGUAAGCAGAACUGGCGCUGUGGGAUGAACCAAACGUAAUGUUACGGUGCCCAAAUUAACAACUCAUGCAGAUACCAUGAAA